rnacentral:tRNA from 1 species
GUUCUGAUAGCUUAAUAUAAAGCAUGACACUGAAGAUGUUAAUAUGAGACCUGCACUCUCAGAACA